AUGAUGUGGUUUCUGGCCUAGAGG
rnacentral:siRNA from 1 species